rnacentral:rRNA from 1 species
UACGAAGGGGGCUAGCGUUGUUCGGAAUCAUUGGGCGUAAAGCGCACGUAGGCGGUUCGUUAUGUCGGAUGUGAAAGCCCUUGGCUCAACUGAGGAAGUGCAUCCGAAACUGGCAGGCUAGAGUACGUAAGAGGGUCGCGGAAUUCCCGGUGUAGAGGUGAAAUUCGUAGAUAUCGGGAGGAACACCGGUGGCGAAGGCGGCGACCUGGGACGAUACUGACGCUGAGGUGCGAAAGCGUGGGGGAGCAAACAGG